rnacentral:rRNA from 1 species
AAUAUUGGACGAUGGGGGCAACCCUGAUCCAGCCAUGCCGCGUGUGUGAAGAAGUUCUUCGGAUUGUAAAGCACUUUAAGUUGGGAGGAGGGGUUGUUCGCUAAUAUCCAGCAAUUUUGACGUUACCGACGGAAUAAGCACCGGCUACCUCUUUUCCACCAGCCGCGGUAAUACAGAGGGUGCAAGCGUUAAUCGGAAUUACUGGGCGUAAAGCGCGCGUAGGUGGUUCAGUAAGAUGGGUGUGAAAACCCCGGGCUUAACCUGGGAACUGCUUUCAUAACUGCUGAGCUAGAGUACGGUAGAGGGUAGUGGAAUUUCCUGUGUAGCGGUGAAAUGCGUAGAUAUAGGAAGGAACACCAGUGGCGAAGGCGACUACCUGGACUGAUACUGACACUGAGGUGCGAAAGCGUGGGGAGCAAAC